GUGUCAGCCGCCGCGGUAAUACGUAGGUGGCAAGCGUUGUCCGGAAUUAUUGGGCGUAAAGCGCGCGCAGGUGGUUUCUUAAGUCUGAUGUGAAAGCCCACGGCUUAACCGUGGAGGGUCAUUGGAAACUGGGAGACUUGAAUGCAGAAGAGGAAAGUGGAAUUCCAAGUGUAGCGGUGAAAUGCGUAGAGAUUGAGAGGAACACCAGUGGCGAAGGCGACUUCCUGGUCAGCAACUGACGCUGAGGCGCGAAAGCGUGGGUAGCAAAGAGGAUGAGAUACCCUGGUAGUCCA
rnacentral:rRNA from 1 species